ACCCAACAGCCACUCAAACACUGAUCCAAUUACCUCGUCCAUAUAUCACGGUACCUGACAUCGCCUUGAUUGUAGUAGUAACCGAAGAGGCCUUUUCUAAUCUGUUGUUUUGAUUAUGUACUUUCCGCUGAGCUAAACAGCCUUGAUGGGGUUUUGCGUUUGUUUUUUAAGUUUUAAGCUGUUCGUGGUACUCAUCUCAUCCUUCUCCAUCCAUUUUCACAAGAGACUGUUGACACAUUCCUGAUGUCAAUUAUAAAUGGGGCGCGUCGAGGAGAAAUAAUCUCUUUUCACGAGAGCCAAUCGAUUUUUGACAAAGUUAGUCGUAUUGGAUUUUAAGGGAAAUAACUUUUCUUGAUAAAUAUUAAAAAAAAACGUGAUGGAACGACAUUCUUUUUCUAGUAGUUGCUGACGCUUUUCUCAAGAUAUUGACGGAAGAAGUUCCAUCGGCUUGUUCACGCAAUUCACGUUCCCUUGGGCCUGUCCAGAUUCAUUUCCUUUUUCCGGCGGAUCUCUCGAGAAUAGGAAAACCUCCGGGCUUCUUUUUUUUAUAUUCUCUUUCUCGAUUGGGUCAAUAACAAUAGGAAUUAGAACCCCAUCACAUGGCAAGAUGUUGCUUGCCCCUUUAUUUUCCUCGUGAUUCGUCUGUAAGACUCACGGACACGCACAGAAUGUUGACCUUGGGGUAGAAAUGACUCGUCCGCUGGUAGGAGGGAGGCAAUAGGAGGAGCCUAAAGAGAAUCACGUAUUUCCAAAACGGAUAUGCAAGAGCUCUGCCCCCAUUGAGCAUCACAACACUGUCGAGAUCAUGCUUUCACGCUUUGUAAAAGCUUGGCAUUUGGAUCUGAGCCGAAACUAUUAUUGUUCGAUUUUUCCCAUUUUCGUUUGGGAGUGUGAGGAUUUUUUUUGGGAACUUUCCCAGAUUCCCAUCUCGUCCAUCUCUGCUGAAUGUGACGAGACGAUUUGAUUAAUGAGUUACUUGCCCUCGGCGACGUCUGCAGACUACAGCCUUUCUUCUAGUCAUUCAGUCCCGUUAACUCUGUUGUUAUUCUAUUCGUGUUUCUACCGUGCUGCCAUCUACUACGUUGCAGAAUUCAUCGCAAAUCCACUAGGAGAUUCCUUUUCUUCUUCUCCCGAUAGGUAGGAAAUGAAAUCGUAAUAAAACGAAAGGGAAGAGGAGGAAUCGUAAAAAGAAAAGAAAAAAAAAACAUUGAAGUCAAUUUCGGUGGUCUCUCUGAUUGUCGUGUGCUGCAAGCUAUGCUAUUUUCCAAAUAAUAGGAAUAUGGGAACUGCAGAAGAAAAAAGGAAUGUUCUCAGAAAAUAUCUAGACCUCCAAAAUACGAGACUUCCGUUUCCUUUACCGCAUCGAAUCGUGAUUUUGACCCAAUUUGAGGUUGUGUUUUUGUGGGGAUGUGUGUUAUUCUUUGGUGGUGGGGGUGUGGCUGAAUCGUGGAUAUAAUCCCUGGAUCGCGGCCAGUGAACAGCAGGCCAAAAAAAAUGGUGCCUUGCGCUCAUUUCGUAUGCUUCAAGUUUUCUGGAUUUCAAGUACUGACGAAAUAGAAAACGACUAACUUUACGUUCACCAUCAAUGCGUGAUCAAUCAAUCAGGAAGGCGACAGUUGAGCACACUAUACACAUUUGUGUGUUUUCCUUUUUCUUUUUUAUCUUUCUGCUUCUUUCCAUUCGCUAACCAACUUGGCUGCCGCCAGCUGCAGCAGCGCGAUCGAUACCAAACUCUCCCAACUUCUGCAACUUGUGUCCCUUGGCCGCCCCAAAGGCUCGUUAGUUGCUCUCACGCCGUCUUUAUAUCCGCUUUUGUCAUCGAAACUAAUAGCAAAUGGAUGUUGCGAGGAAAAUUCCCUCGCCGGUAUCACAACCACUAUCUUUUCUCCUGAUCCGAUCUUCAUUGUCUGAUGGCGGUGGUUGUCGUCGCGGCGUUGAUGCGAUUUCAGAUGGCACAGAGUAGAGGCUGCCCCGGAGGACGUUUCAAUGAGGCGCUUGUUGAUGCGUGAGCCCAACCCAACAGCCGUCGGCUCUUUUGCACGGCGCCAAGAGUGUUUUGACUUGCGGAAGCGUCUACACACUUUCAAGUGGCGUCUUUUUCUUUUUCCGUUUUCCCUUUUUUUUUUUUUUAUUCUGCUCUGCGGCACAAUGCGUUCAAUCUAGCAGUAGGAAUGGAAAGUCAUAAGGAAAGGAACACCAGGAGAGAUAUCUGUCGGAUUGACAUUUGGUGCUAUGCAGCAAUCACACCAAACUACGUCUAGAGAUCACAUUCGAAAAAGAAAAAAACGAAUGGAAAAUUACCAAGCCGACUCAUCCGCUCCAUUUCAUUAUACGAGUCCCUAUCCUUGAAUGAAGAGGGGUUGUUACACGAUCGGUUUCCAAGUCCUUGACUCUCAUAGGUUGAUCAGAUGUCUUGGAUUUACAAUGUUUUUUUUUUUUUUAAAUCUA
rnacentral:lncRNA from 1 species